GCUGCCCUAAAAAGAAAAAAAAAAAGUUGAUUUACAACGUCUUACCAGUUUUUGCUGUACAGCAAAGUGAUCUAGUCAUACUGAAAAUCAGAAUCAACCUCAAUGCUUGCCAGUAAAACAAUGACUGCCUAAUCUGUGAUAAAAGCACAGAAUGGAUUAGCAUGCCUUCUAUGCAAAUGUGAAAAAGAAUGAAAUGGAUUUACAUGGUUUGGAGUGGAAAGAUCUGUACAACCAAAAUGGGAAAUGUGAGUUCUGAACAAUAUCUGUAGAAUGAUAAUAGUUAACAAAAAGUCAAAAAAUUACAUUUCUCUGUGUACAUAUAAGUAUAUAUAUGUACUUUAAAAAUGGCUAGGAGGAUACCCACCUAACUGGAAACAGUAGUUAUGUCAGAUAAGAUUAGGAGGAUUAAUUAUGGAGAAUUUUGCUUUAUUUUUUUGCUAUUUAUAAGAAUACAUUCAAGUAAUUAGUAUUUAUACAACUGAAAAAUGAUAAAGCACUUAGUAUCAUAGCUGGAAUGUUGUGAGUACUUCAUAAAUGCUAGCAGUUAUUAUUACUAAGGAUAGGUGAAAACUUUUCAAAUCAGAUUCCUUCAAAUAGGUAUACAUGAGAUCCAGAAAAACCAUGGUCUUGGCGCAGCAGACCAGGUGCUUGGUGAGAGGGCCAAGCAACUAGGUGACAUAUAUAUAUAUGUUUUCUGUACAUGUGUGGAUAGAAAUGCACAGUGCAAGUGUAGGAAGUCCCUCACUCAGCUGGUAACUAUGAUAACUACUGAGGGCUCAGGACCAGAGAGGAGAUGAACUUGGCCUCAGGUCUUAUUCCACCUCAUAUAUUCUUUUAACCUUUCAUAAAUGUGCAAUAUUUUGGUACUAUUUGAAAUAAUCAAAAUUAUACUUAUGUAAUCUGUAGUUUGCUUCUAUUAUCUUCAUCCUCAUUUACUUAAAAACGUAUCCCAGCAAGGAAGAGCAAUUUGGAAAGG
rnacentral:lncRNA from 1 species